rnacentral:sRNA from 1 species
CAGAAUAUGCAGGAUGGUGAUGAUGAUAACCUGCCGCAGAAUAUGCAGGAUGAUGAUGAUAAUCAACCAUUGCCGCCAGAAGUUAUGUACUUUGAUCCAACUAACUACACGAAGGUGUGUAAGAUAGGAACGAGGUGUCAGUUGGUACAAACAGUGGAAUUUAUAGAGACUUUGGAUGCAGAACUGAAGUGGUUUAGGAAUCAUGACCAAUUUAAGCACAUAUUCCACAUGCCUAAGGAGCCCAAUCACAUGAUUCAAGGCAUGUGGAUGCUUAUGGUUCGCACGGCGAAGACAGAAUUGGCGAGAGAGUGUUGGUUUGUUGCCAAUGGAGUAUCUAUAAGGU